CUAAACUAACUACCUAAGAUUUUAAAACGCAACCAACCCAAGUGUUUUAACCCACCAUUCGGGGGGGGUUAGUUUAGUUUCUUACACAAGGUUGGUUGCGUUUCUGCUCUAGUAUUAUUAUAAUGACAGCAGUUGGUCUGUAGUUAGCUGUGGUAAUUUGUGGCGGGCUUCAAAUUGUCGUGUGAAGUGCUGCCCAUUCUGAUGGUGAACAUGGGCUUGGAAGCUAAAAACUUACCCAUCACAUUAUGAUAUUCUACUGCCAUCAUCAGCAAGAAAGUGAAUUUCUCAUAUGAAAAAUGGCAGAACAGUUAAAUGGUCCAUCAUGUGAUAACACAUCCAACAAGCCUACUGUCCUGAGCUGUCACCAUGUGACUUCUGGCUGUUCCAAUACUACCUGCAGGUAAUUCCAUUAGAAGACUUCCAGAAAUGUUUCUAACAAUGGCAGGAGGAUUGGAAAAUGAUGUGUAUCCUAGGGGAGUACUCUGAAGAGGAUUAAUGACAAAACAGAUGAUGGCACAUGGAUUCAACACUGGAACCUGGAAACCAAACAUGAGACCAUAAUGGCAGAUGCACAUAUAAAUUUUAUGUCCAGAUAUCUGGCAAGGUAUCUGCAUGAAGCCAUCAAAUGAAAUCAUUUUGGAAACCUGAUAAGCAAAGUUCUUCUACAGGUUAUGGAAAGUUCAGGCCACUGUACAAUAUUGCAACUGUUGGUAAGUCUACUGACAUCACUAUAAUACAGACAUAGCACCACACGACCAUUUUCUAUUCAGACUCCUGAAGAAAUCUCAAUAAAACAGAGGCUUUCCAUCAAUGAUGAACUGUAAAAUUCCAUCUACAUGAAAGUAAAUGUUGACAAAUCUAACUACAUGUCAUUUUUACCAAGAGCUUGUUAUUACGCUAUGCAUUUGACGCAUUACAC